CACACACACACACACACACAGCCUACCCCAUCCAAAAUGUUUCCGACAAAAAUCUGGCACUCCUGGUUCUAAUCAAAAUACUGAACUUUGGAACAAAUUAACAUUCCGCAGCCUCGCAGGGAAGGGGGAACUCAGCCGAGACAACUUCGGCUCACAACCAUAACAAAAAUAGCUCCUCCUGGGGAAGACACAUUCUGCUAACAAGGUCACUUUUGUUUGGCUUCUCCUGCCAUCUGGCUGAGUGGCACCAGGGGCUGGCUCUGGGACCAGCUAAAUUCUGCAGCGUGGAUGGGAGCCGGGUGGCACCGCAGAAGGCUUCUCAGCCUCCUGGCAAGAAAAGUCGGUGCAAAGUUACCUUCAGACAUCUCCAGAAAGUGCACAGGCAGAUGGAGCCCUGGUUUCACCCGGCCCUGCUCUGCUCGGCUCUGCACUCGAAGCUUGAGGGAGGUGUCACUCCAGAGACAGCAACAAGCAGGUGGGGACUGGAGAAGGAGGCGGCAGGGUGGGAGAGCUAUCUUUACCUCACAGAACAUUCCAGAACCCAGUGCUGGCUCCCGGGGGCUGGGAGUCUGAGUUACAGGAGGAAGGGGACAAGCGGGGCUUUAGUUUUCUCCUCCUUCUUCUCCUCCUCUCCUUCCUCCCACUCCUCCUCCUGGGACCACGGGGACAUUCAACAACCUGCCUCUCCCCCAGGUCCUCAUCUGUAGAAUGGAAACCACUUGCUCAGACCCUGAGCAGCUAUGCGGAAAGGGGACAAGGAGGGCGAAUGUCAUUGCCUAGAGCACCUGGCUGAGGUCCUCUGGAGAGAACGCUCUGGAAUUCUGAGCUCUGUGUUCGUUCCAAGAGGGCUUGCAAGCUUCUGCAGCACUCGACAUGACCCAGAUGGUCUGGCUGGAACUCUCUGUGUGUGAGGUGCAGGGCUGAGUCUUGAACAUUGGUACUUUUCCUUUUCCCCCGAAAGAUGAUGCUUCUUUGAUGCCAGUAAUUUUGUCUUUUAAAGUAGCUUGAAAAACAAUGAAUGUAGACACAAAAUAUUGCUUACAACUAUAAGGAGUUUGUGACAUACUGAAGCCAUCUAUCUCCUAGGAGGAAUCCAAGGGGUCCCAGAAUAUCUCCUGGGGACCAAAGGAGGGGAACAAAAAUCUUCAAUCCCAUAGAGGAAGAGACUUCAAAUGACCUACUCUCAAGGAAAAUAGGUUGAUUACAUAUCUUUUUCAGGAUUUAAUAUUUAAAAAAAAAGACAGAUGAAGGGACUUUGACUUCCAGGUGAGCUGAAUCCAGUCUCCAGGGGGUUUGGAGCAAGGUGGUUCAGGGGCCUGGGGUUCUACAGCUGGGGUGGUGGGUGAAGGGAGUCUUAGGGAUUCCCCCAAAGUGGAUUGGAAACUUUACCUCCUGUGUAACAGAGUUGGGAGGCGGGGCUUAAUGGGAGGUAUGUAGGUCACCAGGGCUCCAGGACCCUUGCAAACAGAUCAAUGCCCAUUGUGAAAGGGCUUGGGCUGCCUGUUCCAUCUCUUGCUGGCUCUCUGUCACCUUAUCUUGCCCUACUACCGUCUGCCACAGGAGCAUGCAGCACCAAGUCCCCCAGCAGAUGCAGGGCCCUCACCUGGGACUUCCUGGCCCCCAGAACUGUAAGAACAAAUUCUUAUGCUUCUAAUGAUCCAGUCUGUGGUGUUCUGUGAUAGCAACGCAAAGCGGAGCACCUCUAGAGAUCACCCACCACUUCAAGUACACGCAGCAAGUAUGUAUGGAGUGUUGCCAGGCAGUGUGCUCAGGUCUUGGUACACGGCAGAGCAGGAAAGAGCUUGAAGGCUCCUUCAGUGUGCAUAGAAGAAGGGAGCCAGACGUCCAUCACAUAGCCACUCAGAGAAUGGAGUGGGGUGGGCCGAGGGCAGAAAUUGACAUCCUAGGUAGGGAAACACAGGCCACUGUGAUAUCUCAACAUAGAAAAGGACAGCAGUGGUCCCAGGAUGUUCUUAUUUAAUGGUUAUAGGUUUUUGCCAGAGGACCAGAAAUCCUUCCCCUGCACCCCCACGUCUCUCUCUCUCUCUUUCUCUCUCUCUCUCUCUCUCUCUCUCUCUCUUUCUCUCUCUCUCUCUCUCUCUCUCUCCCUCUCUCCCUCUCCCUCUCUCUUUCCCUCUCUCUUUCUGUGCAGAGGAUUGAACCCAGCACCUUGCACCUGCUAAGCAAGGACUCUAUCCACAACUCAGCUCCUGAGUCUCCUAUAGAAAAGAUAGAUAUUGAUAACUUGUCUUGCAGCUCAGGGUAAAAUAGCACUUUACAGGAUAUUGAGGAAACGAGAAUUGCCUACAUCAGAGAAUGAGAAGGAGAGGAACUGAAGAUGGAGAUGGUGGCUGCAGCCUGUUCCAGGCCUCUGGACCCUGCUGUUGGGAAAGCCCUUGCUACACCUGGAAGAAAGGAGACCCUUGCAAUAGGGUAUCCUGGACAGAGGAGAGUUCAGGGCACCAGAUGACAGGAGAGGCACCGGGGGCUAAUGUGGAAGCCCUGGAGGACAGGAUUUCCACAGUGGGAAUCUGGGUCACCCCGGGAUUGUUUUAUGCAUGGGAACUCAUGGUUCUCAGUAGGCUCUGGACUUCAUCCUGCAGGCAAAGGGAAGCCAUGGAAGGGUCUGAAAGAGAGGAUAUGGUGUGUUUUGCGGAUGUUCUGCCUCUGGGGCUGGGGUUGAGUGGAGGGGGAUGAUGGGGAAGCCGGGGCGGAAGCCACGCUGGGUAGACGUGCUCCUUACUCCACUCAUCUGUCCUGGGGCAUCCAGUCAUGGGAGUCCCCAGGGUCUGGCUGCACCCCAGAGAGACAGGUACAUUGACCCUGGCUCUCAGGUUGUCCGCUUCUUGGGCCCCAGAUUGCUGACACUCACUGUCGGCGUAAUGGUUGGAGGUCCAAGGAUUCACCUCUUCCGCCGUCUGUGCAGGAUGGUCCAGGAGGUGAGAUGUCCUCUGUGCUUCUCAGGUUGUCUGGCCCCGUGUGUCUGUGAUCUGAGCUCUGCUGAGGGUGGGAGUCCGAUUCCCAGGCUGGGGUCAAGUGCACCCCCCAGGGCUCCUGCUGUGGGCCUGGGCAGAGGGGAGCCCAGCGACUCAGCUCUUCCCAGUCAGAGGCUGGGCUCAGCGACUCCAGUCUCAGGCUGGUGCUAUCCCAACUGGCCUCCAUCUUUCAGGUGAAUGACACAUUUUUUCAGUCUCUCUGUGUUUUGAACGAGAGGCCGACAGAGAGAGGAGGCUGUGAAUUACAAUCACAGUUUCCUGCCGCAGAGCACACAGAUGAGCAUUGAUCUCAGACUCUCUUACUGUCAUCAUUUACUGAGUGCUGGAAAGACUUGCACAUAAUUCAGUGGAGGAAAACAGAAUUCUGGUCGCCAGCCGCAUGUCAACAAAACACCCGGAUAAUAUGGGCGGCUGAAACAGAGAGAAGCAAGCCUCGACCCAGCAUUAGUCUCCAGAUCAACAUUAUCGGGGUAUGAUUUACAUGCAAUAAACUGCAAAAAAAAAAAAUAUAUAUAUAUAUAUGAUUUGAUGCUUUAACAAAUGUGCAUCUCCAAGUAACUAUCACCUUGAUGGAGGUAUGGAAUAUUCUGGCACCUGCAGAGAGUCCUGCCAGCCCCUAGAAGCUAGUCUCUCAUUCACGAGUGACUUGCUAGCUGUCAUUGUAGCUUUGCAUUUUUAUAAUUUCAUAUCGGUGAUACCUCUGUGUCUAACUGCUUUUACUGAUAUUUGAGAUCCACCCACAUUGUUCUGUUUACCCUUUUACUGUUAAGGUCUGUUUCACAGUUUGUUCAUCCAUUAGCCUGUGGAUGGACAUUUGUUUCCAGGGUUUUGCAUGUGAUGACUUGAGCUGUUACACAUAUUAGCGUACAAGUCUUUCUGUGGAGUUAUGUUUUCCUUUCUCUUGGGUAAAUAUCUAAGAGUAGCUGGGUUGUCUGGUAGGCAUUUUUUUUGUUGUUGUUAGAAACUGCCAGAUGUUUUUCUGGAGUGGAUGCACUAUGUUUGCAUUCCCACCAAUAACAUGCAAGAGUUCCUGUUGCUCCAUAUCCAGGAUGGUAUGUGGGAUUGUGAGUCUUUCUGAUUUUAGCUAUUCAAAUGGGCAUGCGGCAGUACCUCAUAUGGUUAUUACUUGCAUUUCCUUGAUAACUGGUAUAGUUUGGGUCUGGAACUGAAGGCCCAUGUGCUAUGGCUUGGUCCCCAUGCCCUGGUUCUAUGGGAAGGCUGUAGAAUCUUUAAGAGGUGGGUCCUAGUCAGAGAUAGGUCAUUGGAGGUCAUUAGAGGUGUGCCUUCAAAUGGAAUCAUGGGACCCUGGUCUCUUUCUGUCAACUGAUCAGGGACUGGAACUUCCAAAACUAUGAGAAUAAACCUUUCCUCUUUUUUAAGUUGAUUAUUUCAACUAUUUUGUUGCAGUAACAGGGAACUGGCUAACAAUGGCUAUUUUUUUUUUUGGCAAAUUUUCAUGUGCUUUUAAGAAUUCAUAUAUUUUCUUUUAGGAGUGUCUUUUAUAUUUUUUAUCCAUUAAAAUUAGGUUGUUUGUCUUAUGAUUCAGGUGUAGAAGUUAUUUAAGAUUCUGCUAUAAACACUUAGGCACAUGCAUUUUUUCCAAGUCAUGUUUUUGUUUUAAUUUUUUUAACCAUGUCAUUCAUGAAACCAAGUUUUAUGUUAUGAUAAAGUCCCACUUAUCAACUUUUUAUUUUAUGAUCCAUGUCUUUUAAGUCUUAUUCUAGAAAUUGUUGCCUACUCAAUAUCAGAAAUUUUCUCCCAUGUUUUCUUCUAGAAGUGUUAUAGUCUUAGCUUUCAUGUGUAAGUCUAUGAUCCGCUUUUGGGUAACUUUGUGCAUGGUAUAUGGCAAGAUUUGAUGUUUACUUUUUCCCACAUAGAUACUCAGUUAUACCACCACUCUUUGUUAAGAAACUUUCUUUCCUCAUUAAAUUACCUCAAUGCCUUUGUCAAAAAUAAAUUGGCCAUAUGCCCGAGGGUAUAUUUCUGAACUCUUUUUCAUAUCCCAUGGAUCUUUCUUUGAACCAAUUUUUGGGGUCUAUUUAUUUUUUUUCUAUAUAUCUUUUCAACCACUACCACACUGUCAGGUAAGUUCUCCAACUUUGUCCUUUUUUUAAAAAAAAUUGUCUUGUCAAUCUAGGCAUUGCCUUUUCACAUAAAUUUUAGAAUCAGCUUUUCAAUUUCUACAAAACACCCUACUAGGAUUUUGGUUGGGGUCCUGUGGAACAUAUUCUAUGGAUAUAUUGGGGGAGAAUCAACAUCUUAACUACUGUAUAAGUCAGCUUUUCUUUACUUUGACCAAAUACUUGACCAGAACAACUUACUACGGGAAAAGUUUACUUUGGCUCAUGGUUUCGGGUAACUCCAGUUCUCUGGGAGUUCAGUGAGGCAGAACAUCAUGGAGGAAGGGAGUGGCAAAGGAAAGCAUCUCACUUCAGGGUAUCUGGAAAGCAGAGUGAAAAAGUGGAAGGAACUAGAGACAAACUAUGUAACCCUCAAGGCAUGUUCCCAGUGACUCACUUCCUCCGGUCACACCUCACCUGCCUACAGUCCCCACCCAUUCAUCCAUUCAAAUGGAUGAAUCCAGUACUUAAGUUACAGCUCUCAUAAUCUGAUUAUUCACCUCCAGCAUUAACACAGAAGCUUUGGGGGGGGGGACACCUCAUAUCCAAGCCAUAACAAUUUAAUUCCUCCCAUCCAUGAACAUGGUAUACCAUAUCAUUCAUUUUGUUUAGGUUGGCUAUAUCUUGGUUGAGUUUUUGUUUUGAUGACCUGUCUAUUGGUGGCAAGGGUGUAUGGAAAUCUCCCAGGAUUAUUGUGUUAGGGUCUAUGUGGAAUUUAAGGUUGUGAAGUAUUUUUUUCCAUGUAAUUAGGUGUGUUGACAUUGGGGCCUCAAUAUUUACCAUGGCUAUACAUUCUUGUUGGAUUUUUUCCCCCUGACUAGUAUGUAAUGUCCUUCUUUUUCUCUUCUGAUUAAUAUUUGCUUGAAAUCUACUUUGCCUGAUAUGAGAAUAGCUAGUCCUAUUUGUUUUCUUGGACCAUAGUCCUGGAAUAUUUUUUGCAACCCUUUUAUUUUCAGCCUGUGGGUGUCUUUGCCCAUAAGAUGGGUCUCUUGUAAACAGCAUAUAGUUGGAUUUCAUUUUUUGAUCCAUUCUGCUAAUCUGUGUCUUUUAAUUGGGGACUUGAGACCAUGAACAUUCGGCGUUAGCAUGGAUAUGUGUUUGUGGUUUCCUGUCACUUUGUUUUUUUGCUGUAUUUUACCCUGUCUUAGUUCUCAUUUAGUGGCUUAUUCUCUAUUGAACUUCUCUGUGAGCUUUGGGCAUUGUUUUUCAUUCCUCUGUUUAAAGUUUAACUUUGAGUAUUCUUUGUUGUGCUGGUUGGUUGCUCAUAAUUCUUUUAGUUUCUUCUUGUUGUGGAAUAUUUUUAUCUCCCCUCAAAUUUGAAGCUGAAUUGUGCUGGAUAUAGUGAUCUUGGCUGACAGUUGUCUUCUUUUAGGAUUUGGAAUAUCUCAUUCCAAGUAACCCUUGAUUUUAGGGUACGAGCAGAGAACUCACAUGUGAGCCUUGUUGGUUUGCCUCUAAAUGUGACCUAUUGCUUUUCUUUUGUGGCUUUUAAUAUUCUUUCCUUGUUUUCUGUAUUAGGCAUUUUGAUUAUGAUAGAUCUUGGCAAGCUUCUCAUUUGGCUGGGUCUAUUUGGGUUUCUGUAAGACUCUUGUAUGUGGAUGUCUACCUGAUUUCUGAUAUGUGAGAAGUUUUCUAUAACUAUUUCAUUGAAAAUAUUUUUUAUGCCUUUAGUUUGUAUCUCCAUGUUCUCUUCUAUUCUGGUGAUUCUCAGGUUUGUUCUUUUAAAGUUGUCCCAGAGUUCUUGUAUAGUCUGGUAAUGUUUUAUAUUUCCCUUUUACUGCCUUCUGUGUAUUUAAGAUCAUAUAACCUGUCUUCUGUGCCUAAAGUUCUGUCUUCAAGGGCUGAGGUUCUAUUUUCUAUACCAUCUAGUCUGUUAUUGAUGCUUCCAAGUGUAAUUUGAUUGAUCUUGUCUUUCAAGAUCAGUUGAAGUGGAUUCCUCUACCCAUUUUCCUUAGAGCAUAGUUUUCAGUUGCUAAAAUGUUCUAAGUUGAUCUGGAUUGAGACCCCUUAUAGGUGUGGUGUCCACAGCCUUUGUGUUAUUUCUUUCUGUUUCUGCUACACAAAUGAAUGUCCCUAGGUGGGACUUGAGGGUCCAUCUCCAGCUGUUUCUUCUUGGAGCCUGGACAUUAGUUUAGAUUAUUGUGCCUUCUAUUCUUUGUAUUAAGAUAUAGCGGAAGAUUGAAUGUUAUUGAUUUGUGGGGGGUGCGAGGAGUGUUGUCUUUUGGCUGAGUUUAGUUCAGCAGCAGAGUUUCUACCCUGUGAAUUUGUAGCAUCCCUGUGGGUCUCCAGUAUCUCACAGAAUAGGGGGAAACAAGCAAUAGCAACAACCAAUGCAAACAAUAUACAGCAUUAAACUAAAUACCUGGUUCCUUCUAUGACAUCCACACUGUUAGUUGUCACAAAACCCCAGAAAUGCUAUGGUCAGCAAUUGCCAUCAGCACAAAAAAUAAGGAACCAUGAAUCAUGUCUGGUAUUAAGUCAAACAACAGGUGUCAACUGUGGCAUCCACAGCAGUAAUAAUCACAAUAGCAUUAAUGAUGGGGGCAGGCAUUAUAUAAACCAAUUAGUGCUAAAAUAUUGUGAGAAAUAUAUAAUUAGUUAAGAGAAAAGAAAAUGUGAUAGGGAUAGAGGAAAAAAGUGUACAGAGAAUGCAGAAGAGAUGUAGAGAUGUGAUGGUUAUAAGGAAGGAGGAGAAAAAAUAGAAGUAACAAAAUAAAGGGAAAGUGAGAGAGAGAACAAUGGAAUUUGGUUGCUAUGAGAAUAGACAGAAAGAGAAUCAAGAGACAUAGAAAAAUGAAAAAAAAAUUAAAAAACCAAACCAAAGUGUACUAAUCAAAAACCCUAACCCUCAAAAGGUGAGGAAAAGUAGCUACAUUUUUAAAAAUGCUACAAAUGAGAAAAAAGAAACAAGUAUAUAUGUGUAGAUGUUCAUGAACCAAUCAGCACACACACACACACACAAAAGAAAGAAAAAAGAAAAGAAAAAAAGGGAAGAAAAAAUAACAAGAAAAAAGCCAGAUUUUUUAAUUGAAAAUUAAGCACUCAUUCCCCCUGAGGUGGCCAAAACACUCAAUGCGAAGGUAUUUUCACUGUCUGUGUGUCUUUCUUGCCAUUUCUUCUUGAGCCCUGUCCUGAGUGUGAGAGUAAGGGCAGAGGGUUGUUGAACUCUUCCUCUUUCUGUGUUGCUCACCAAGUUUUCAAUUGGAGUUUAAAACUUCUCAGCUUCCCUUCUCCCCAGCGCGAGGUAGGAUGGAAUGGGAAGUACUGUCCGCUGGAAUUCUGUCCAGGCCUGUGCACUCCUGAGGUGGGGCCGCUGCGGGGUUCUGUGAGGGGAGCUCCUGAAGGUGGGGCCUGGUCUAAUCAGGCCUCAGGGGGAGCUGCUCUGGAGAAAUUAGGUCAACACACCUCUGGGCGCUGGCAAUCGCCAAUCCUGGCCGAGAGUCUGGAUCUCGGGAGUCUCCCUAGGAUUCUGCUCAUGGGAUGAGGGAGCCAACCCUUGACCCCCGUCUGUUGCUCAUGAACACAGGCUGUCCAGGAUUCCUGGGCUCAGUCCCUGAGGGUAUUCACUCCCACCUGCUCACAUUCCCACCAGCUUCAGCUGGUCACGUGAGCCCCCAGACUCAAAGGGGGAAGCCAGCAGGGCUCCUCAUCCCAUCUCUGAUUUGACUCCCCCUGGGUAGAAUACUCUCUAUGCCCGUUGUGCUCUUGUUUUUCUAGGAACACCCAGGUCACGCUUGCCAGGACAGCGUAGUGGUAUCUGCUCAGAUCUCUGGGCUCUGCAGCAGCCACUGCAACAUGGCCACCCCAAAAUGGCUCCACCCCAGCUCUCCAUGGCCAGUUGGGAAACAUGAGUGCUUUUUAUGCACCAGUGCACUGUGCAGCUCUGGAUGAGCUAAGGUGGGCUGCUUUUCUGAUCUCGGGAUUUCUCUGCACCGUCCCUCUCUCUGUGCCCAACCCCUGCUGCUGUUGCUGCUGCUACCAGCUUGGCUCCAAUGUUGUCUUUCUUCUUGGUUUAAUGUACCCAAAUGUCUGAGUCUCUAAGACACUGUGACUGUUCCAUAUUGAGUUUCAGUGAAAUCCCUCUCUCACCCACUCUGCAGAGAAGCAGUAUUCCCACUCCUUGAAUCCUGGGUCAGGGAGCCACAAGGAACGUAGUCCCCCUCUAACCCACCAUCUGGAAUCUCCAUCUUAGUUUUCCACUUUGGGAAUUGUUUCCUUAGGAGCUCCUUUGAAUGAAUAAGCAUUUGGGGUCAUAUUUAAAUGUCUUCCUAUGUGGAAUUCUCUUUUUUGAUUGACAGCACUAUGGGUAACGUAUGAAAUAAGAAUAGUGUUUUAAUGUCAACGCAGUAUAACUCGGUUUCCUUUUUCUGAUCUUUGAGGGGCUGCUGGGGUUGAAGUGCCCGGGCUUUCUGCCCUUGGCACCGUUGACCCUCUAGGCUGGAUUAGUCUUCAUUGCCGUGGCCGGGGUUGGGGGUGGGUGGGGGGCCGUGAUCUGUGCAUUGCAAGGUGUCAAACAGCAUCCCAACCUAAUGGACGCCAGUAGCACCCACUUGCCCCAUUGUGACAACACAAAAUGUUUCCAGACAUUGCCUCAAAGGGGUCAAGUCACCCCAGUUGAGAACGACUAUAGAAUAACAUAAAUGGGUUGGAAAUCUAAAAUUGUAAAAAUCACCUACAUUUUCUCUUUAUUUCACUUUCCUCUCAAUUCUUCCCAUGUCUUAUCAGGCUGCCCUGCACUGAGACCCCCGGCACUAGGCGCCCAUUACGUGACUUGGCUUUUCUCGGCUCCCUUUGCACCUGAGACCUGAGGGUGGUCUUGUUGAUGAAGAGGGGAAAUAUUAAGGUCCCCGUUUGUUAUAAAGACUUGCACAUCUGAGGAACCAGACCAGUGCUUUGACGUGCACAGCCACGUGAACUUCACCCUCGGUCCCAGAAGUUGCUAAAGCCCUUGCUGAGCUCCUUCCUUGCCCUGAAGGAAUGUGUUGAGGUUUUGAAAGAAAGAUCUAAAAACCUGGGCUGCAUGUCAUCGAGGGGAAAGUUCAAAUCAGCACCACAGAAGGGCAGAUGGGAAGGCACUUAGGCAGUCCCCAGAGUUGUUUAGAAGAUGUGGUUUCUGCAGGGGUCUCCAGGCUGGGCCUGGGCAGAGGGAAGGGGCUGUCAUUUACAGACAGAUCAGUGUCGUCGUUUCUGUUCUGUGGCUGGGACAGCGGGAGGCAGAGCCCGCUGUCCGGCAGUGGCCUUGGCUGUGCCUGCUUCCCACAACUCUUUGGUUUCAGCCUGAAAACUUCAGUGUUGGCUGGCGUGGGAAGCUCCCUCGGACGGCUAGCCAAAGUCCCCGAGGGAUUGGGAGAUGUGGGUCUGAGUAGAGACCUACCUUGGGGCUUGGGAUAUUUACUGAACCAGGAUGCUGUUCCUCUUGUGCUUUUUAAAAUUUUGAGAUCAAAUUCACCUAACAUAGAAGUAUCCUUUUGAAAAUAUAGUAUUCGGUGGCAUUUAAUACAUUCCCAAUGUGGCACAACCGUCACCCCAACUAGUUCCAAAAAGUUUUUAUACCCCAAACAGGGAGCCCAUGCCAUAAGCAUCAUCUCUGUGACUCUCUGGCCUCCACCCACCUGUGCUCUGUCUCUGUGAACUUCCCUAUUCUGGACAUUUCCCACAGGUGGAGUCAUAUAAUAUGGGUUUUGUGACUGGCUUCUUUCAUUUAGCACAGUCCCUUCCAGGUUCAUCCACAUCAUGUCAUGUCUCAGCAUUGGUCCUUCUCAUGGCAGGGUGAUGUUCCAGUGUAUGGACAGAUUACAUUUGGUUCAUCAGUUCAUCCGUUGGUGAACAUUUGGGUCGUUUCUGCCUUUUGGUUAUUGAGAAUAUUGCCUUUGGGGGGGGCGGUAAUGGAGAUUAAACCCAGGGGUGCUCUACUACUGAGCUACAACCCUAGCCCUAUUUAUUUUUUUGAGACAGGGUCUUACUAAGUUACCCAGGCUGGGCUUGAACAUGCAAUCCUCCUGCCUCAGCCUCCUGAGUGAGUAGCUAUGAUUACUGUCAUGCACCCCUAUACCUGGCUUCCCGAAAGCUCUUGCAGUCUGUAGCCCUCAGCAUAAUAUCCUAACUCCUUAGCAUGUUGCUCAUCGUGAGGCCCCUUCUGUGUCCUUCACCUGAUACAUACAUGUCUUAAUGGCCUCACCACUCAGAACAACCCCCAGUACCUGGAAUUCAACUAAAUGUGCUCCAGCUCGUGUCUUUGUGCAGGUGAGUCCUGGCUUGGAAUGCUUUCUUUGUCCUUUCUUUACCUUGUGUCCUGGUCUGUUUUCUGCUGCUAUAACACAACACCACAGAUCAAGCAGUUUCAAAAAAUGAAAAAAGAAAUCUAUUUCCCACAGUUCUGGAGGCCAGGAAGCCCAAUCCCAAGGGGCUGGUGUCUGGUAAAGACCUUCUUUCUGGUCAUUCCAUGGGAACAGGGGGGCUUGUGUCAGCUCAGGUCUCUUCUUCUCCUAAUUAACCCUUUAAUGCCAUCCUAGGGGCCCCAUUCUUCUGAUGUCCUCUGGUCUUAAUUGCCACCCAAUAGCCUCAUCUCCAAAUACCAUCGGGCACAUAAAUUUAGGGAUGAAGUUUCCAGCACAUGAUCUUUGGGGACAGGGUCCACUAUAGCACCUGGCUACCUUUUACUUGUCCUUGAAGAUUGGGAUGGAGUGUCAGACCUACCUGCGGGUCUGGAACACAAAACAGCUCACUUCCGAUAAGAAAAAAAAGAACCCCAGUGAACAAAGAGGCUGGAUUAAAUUUCUAGGGGGCACGAAAUUGGAUAUAAUUAUUAUUUGCCUUGCUUAUUCAAUUACUAGAAGUUAUUUAUGUUAAAUAACUGUAGGGCUUUUUUGGGUUCCCCAAAAUAGAAAAUGCAUGAAAGCAGGUAUAUUGCCUAAGGAAACCAGACCCAUUCUUUUUUCUUGAGCCUAUUAGACUGAGCCUUUAAAAAAAAAAGUUUAUUGAGAUAUUAUUCACAUACCAUACAAUUAGCCAUUUAAAGUAUCCAGUUCCAGGGUUUUUAGUAUAUUCGUGAAGGAGUGCAACUAUGACCCAAAGAAUCCCGUAUCUGUUGCCAGAAACUUCCUUUCCCAUCCCUCCUCCCCACCCCUGCCUGUGUAGCCAGUUCUCUGCUUUCCUGGACUGAAUCUUGAGGACGCUGAGCCUGAGGCGCCCCUCCCUCCCCGCCCUCUCUGUCUUGGACGUGGGCUUUGGACAUCUGUGUCAAUGAGGAGGUUUUUCCAGGCAGAGUUUGAGAGUGUAUUAGUCUGUUUUCUGUUGCUAAUAACAAUACCACAGGCUGAGUGAGUUAUAAUGAAAAGAGGUUUAUUUUGGCUCAUGAUUCUGGUCUCAGACUGUGGGGCUACAUCUGGAGAUGACCUUCCUGCUGGCCCAGUGCCAAGAGAGCACAGGAUGUCUUUUGGCACAAGGAAGGGAUGUGUGUGUGCUUGUGGGCAGUCCUGUGUGUGUCUUUUGGUCUCUCUCUCUUCUUAUAAAGCCACCAGCAACCCACCCAAUGGACCCAUCCCAUCCUAAUCACCUCUAAACUCCACAGUGGAUUUAAUUUCUCACCUUUUCCUUUUUUUUUUUUUUUGGUACCAGGGAUUGAGCUCAGGGGCACUCAACCACUGAGCCCCCUCCCCAGCCCUAUUUUGUAUUUUAUUUAGAGACAGGGUCUCACUUUAACACCUCACUUUUGCUGAGGCUGGCUUUGAACUCACGAUCCUCCUGCCUCAGCCUCCUGAGUUGCUGGGAUCACAGGCAUGUGCCACUGUGCCCGGCAAAUUCCCAUCCUCUUAAUACCUCACAAUGAGGAUUAAACUCCCCCAUGGGUUUGUUUUUUUUUGGGGGGGGGAUACGCCCUAUUUAAGCAAAGGGGUGAGGCAGAGGGGAGGCAGAUACAUAUAGAUACAAACUGGGAACGCAAGGUUAAAAUGUGCUUUAGAAGGAAGAUGCAGACAGAGAGAUAAACCUGCAAGGCAGUGUUCAGGGUUCAUCUCCAUCAACAGGAGCAAUGAUGUCAUGAGCGCUUGCUCGAUGAGUUGGGAACAUUAUUGGAGUGCGUGUUCCUUUGAUCAUAUGAGCUGCUGACCAAGGUAGCAGCAUCGGGGCUGGGUGAUCUCUCCCAGACCCCCCACCCAUCUGCGAGAAAGUGAAGAGCAUCACCCCGAGCCCCCUUCUCACCCACACCGUUGCACGAAUGGGGUCAGCGAUCUUCCUGCUGGAUGCCACGUGUCCCCAUUUAAUAGGCUCCAAAACACUCAAAAUAUCUACCGGGUCUAAAUGCCACAGUCAAUGCAGGUGUCCAUCUCUCUUUUUUUUUUUCUUGCUUUGUUUAAUUAAAAAUAAAUAAAUCAAGCAGUCCACUUAGAGGACGUUUCUUCUCUCUGGUGGAUGAGGCAGGGCCUUAAGGGUCUCUUGUAGGGAGAUGAUGACCUGGCAGAGAUGUCCACGUCCUAAUCCCUGGGACUGCAGAUACAGUGCUCUGUGUCAUCACAUCAGCAAAAGGGACUUAUCAGUUAAAGGUCUUGAGAUGGGGAGGUGACCCUCCCAGGAGGAAGGCAGGAGGGUCAGAGAGGGAGAUGGAUGAUAAAGGGCAACUUCAGAACAGGCAGGACCGCAGCCCAGGAAUAGAGCUGGCCUCUAGGUGCUGGAGGAGGGAAGGAAAUGGAAAUGGACCCCCACCCCGACUCCAGAGCAUCUGGGGGAGCACUCUGCACUUGUGACCUGCAGAACAGUGAGAGAAUACAUGGCGUUGCUAUAGGCCCCUCCUUUUGUGAUCGCUUGGCCCAGCAGCCCCAGGAAGCGCAUGGAGGUUUUGACGUAAAGUUUGAGUCUUCCUUGGAGACAGUGGCCCGUCCGAUUGUAGCAACAGCUCUCAAUCACCGAGGGUCAGAACAUGCUGGAAACUGCUCCCGACGCCCAGCAGAUCCCGUCUGAGAAAGAGGUCACCAACAUCAACCUUAUUUUGUAGACCACAAACUAAAGCUCAGAGCACUCUCUUUUAACCAGAGUCAGCUUUGACAUCCAGGGGACACUUGGCAAUGUCUGGAGACUUUUUUGGUUGUUACAACGGGGAUCAGGGUGUUCCUGGCCUCGAAUGGGGAGAGGCCAGUGAUGGAUUUCUAGGGAGCUCCUGGGGGGCAGCCUGCUCUCAGUUUUCUUCUGAGUACCUGCAUUUGGCGGGGUGCACCAGGUUAUUGGUAAAUGAAUGUGCAUUGUGUGUGCUCUUGGGUGUGUUUGUGCUACGUGUGCACAUGGGAUGACAAGGGGCGCAUGCAGGGUGCAUGCGGUAUGUGCCCAUGUGUGUGCGUGUGUGUGUGUGUGUGUGUGUGCAUGCCUGUGUGGUGGGGGAGGUGAGGAGGGAGAGAGGACCCUGCUCCUACCUCAGCCAGAAACCAGGGUGACCAGCGUUCUCCAAAUACAUUCUGCAUUUCUCACAACUGUGCCCCCUAUUUCGUGCCCCCAUAACUGACUGGCACCUUUCUCUGUUCUCCCAGCACCACCCUCUGUAACUGCCUCGAAGCAUUUGUCUCUGCCAGGAUUGUGCCCUUUACGCCUGGCUCAGGCACCAACACAGGUCUCACAAGAAUCCAGGUAAAGCAUGUGACACCCACAGGUACGUCCAUUUUCAUCUCUUUAGGGAAAAAUAAAAUAAAAUUUAUGUUUAAUUUCCUCAUGAGUGACAAAAUAUUUUGGUGUUAUUUAUGAAGGAUUUUAAAAGCACGGGUGAUUUUUAUUAUUAUUAUUAUCUAUUGCUGGGUAACAGUCUGUCCCCCAAAUUAGCGACUGAAGCCAAUCUAUUAUCAUAGAAUUUCUGGCAGUUCUGUGGGUUGACCGGGAGCUAGGGGCCACUCUUGGAACCUCGGUGGCAUUGCAGCCCGGUGGCAGCCGAGCUGGAGUCUCCUGCGGUUCCUUCCCUCCCUUGUCUGCGGCCUUGGUUCAGAUGGCUGUCACAGCUGGAGGUGGCUGGCAUCUCCCUCCAUGGGGCCUCUUCUCUUGGCUUACGUGGACUCCCUCCCAACAUGGAGGUCUCAGGGAAGUUGGACUCUGACAUGGUGACAGAGUUCUUCCACAGCCAGAAUCCGAGAGAGCCAGGCUUCUCGGGAACUAGCUUGGAAGUCAGGCAGGAUCAAACCUGCCAUAUUCUAUUGGUUACCCUGGCCCAGGCCAAAUCCACAGACUAGAGUGUGGGCACCUCCCUUUCUGUUGUUCCCCAGGGCAGAGACUGGCUACUGCUUUGCAAAGUUGUAUAAAAAAAAUUACAUUCUCCAUUAGAUGCAUCUAAUUACAAGAGACAGAAAACGUCUUGUGUCGAGAGCAAGGUACUAAACACGUAAGAUUUGUGGACUAUACAAUCUUUGUUGACUACUGAACUCUGCUUCCAUAGUGUGAAAACAACCCCAGACAAUAUGUAAAUGAAUGGACAUAGCUUUGUUCCAAUAAAACUUUAUUGACAAAAUGGGUGGUGAGUGGGAUUUGCCCUGCAGGACAGAGUUUGCCAACCCUCUGGCCUAUUAGAUGAUGUAGACCUUAACAGCAAGAAUUUAUUAGGUACUUAGCCAAUGGGUGCAUUCAUUUCCUAUGGCUGCUGUAAGAAAUCACCCCAAAUCUGGUGGCUUAAAAAACAAAAACUUGCUCUGGAGGUCAAAAGUCUAAGGGCCGUUUCACUGGCCCCAAAGCAAGGUGCUUGCUGAGCCUCUCUCUCCCUCCCGGGGUUCUGGAGAAUCUGUUCCUUGUGUUUCUGGAGACGAGUGAGGCAUUGCACAUUUGUUCCCGGCUUCUGAGGACAUCUGGGGCUCCUUGUCUUGUGGCUGCAUCAUUCCUGUCUCUGUCUCCAUCUCACACACACUUCUCCCCCGUCUCCCCCUGUGCACAUAGAAUCUGCUUCUGAUUCUCUCCCAUAAAGAUACAAGUUGCACUUGGGAUGUGCCUGGAUAAUCCCAUCUCAAGAUCCUCAGGUUAAUCAUCUUUCUCAUGUCAUUGAAGGUAACACUCACAGGAUCCUGCGUUUAGGAAACAGAUAUAUCUUUGAAGGGCUACUUUUCAGCCUACCACAAGGGAGCAAGUACUUUAACAUCUUUACUUUUCCUACAGAGCCUAAGAGGUAGCUAUUAGUUUUGUUAUUUCACAGAUUAUUAUUAUUAUUAUUAUUAUUAUUAUUUCACACAGGAAAUUGAGAGCCAGGGAUACUUCCUAACUAACCUGCACUUCUCAUGCAGCUGCUAAGUGGCUCAGACGCUCUCCAUUUUCCCCCAAGGAAUAUUACUGGGAGGGAUGCGGGCAGCUACACCAUCCUGUGCAACUUUUUAAGGAAUUCACUUCGUUUCUCCGACCCUUCAGUAUUUCCAUCUGUAAAAUGAGAAUUAUACCCUUCCUGACCUCAAUCAGAUGAAAUUAGAUGAUUUUUAUGACAAUCCCUGGAAAACGAUUAUGUCUUCUAUAGAUGCAGGGGGUUAUUUUUUAUCUAGAGUGGGUUCAUCAGAAAGUCUUAGAGGAAAGAGACCACGUGGCUGAGCAUCAUGAAUAAAAUGCCAAAAUAUUUCUAGAAAUUAUCGGCAGCUUCAAGUGCUGGGGCUUCACUUAAAAGAUAGUGAAAUUCUGAUGUACAUAGAUUUAAAAGUUUCCCUGUUUGAGGAAUUACACCUGGAAGCCACUUCCUACAGAAAGAUAGCAAGAAAUGCUGAAUUAUUUCAAGAUGGAAGGGGGAAGGAAGGUGAGGUGUUUUUGUUUGUUUGUUUGUUUUUGGAGUUGUAGAUGAACAGCAUACCUUUAUUUUAUUUAUUUUUAUGUGGUGCUGAGGAUCGAACCCAUGCAUGCUAGGCAAGGGCUUUGCAACUGAGCUACAGCCCCAGCCCUCCAAAACAUUCACACGAAAUGAGUUCUCUUCUUUAUAAAGAUCAUCUCCUCCCCAUCCUGGCCCUUCAUAACCAGCAUGUUAGGUGGAUAGCAGUCGUUCCAGGUGCUGUUUGGGUCUGUUAACUUUCUGCAGUGUGUCUGUCACCUGGGUACUGGAGAGAGAAUGGUGGAAGAACAGAGCACCUGGAGGUUGCAUAGGUAAGCAGGAAAAUGAAGAAAGGGGGAAAAAGAAGGGCAGGCACUGUGGAAAAACACUUAGGAGGAAACUAGACGUCUUUAUCAAAAUUGAUUUUUAACUGGACAGGCCUCUCCUCUGCAUCCAUGCCAUAUUUAUAAAUCUAGAUGAGAUUGCAGAAAACACAGGCACUUAGAACACAGCUCAGCCGGCAACACAGCAGACAUCACCAAUCAAUCACAGCGACCCAGCACUCCAGGCAGUCACUACCAGUCAAUGAAUUCUAUCCAUCACCUCCGCGGCUACUUGAUAAGCCUAGAACAUAAAUUUCACUGCAUUAAUUAACUGACUUAAUUCAAAAGUCUUUUUCACCUGCUGUUUGUACCCAAGCCAAAGCUGCUCAUUUACUAUUUUCGUAUCUGCCUGGUGUAUUUGCAACACAACAGUAUCAGCUACUGAUGGCUUGCUGUGCACUGAAUUCACCGCAUGGAAUUCUCACAAAUGUUAGUUUUCUAGGUAACCAGAGCUCAUCUGAAUAAGAUGCCAAUCUAAGGGAAGGGUUCCCCUUACUAUGUGUUUGAAGACUGCUGCUCCAGCCAGUCUCAUUUCUGUAGAGGAGUGAACCAUUCAUUGCAGGACCUUCUUCUCCAGUUUAUUGCUGUGUUUAUUAUUAGAUGAUUUGGGGAAUGCAAAAGAAGUUAUUACCCUCCACAACACAGUGGGGGCAAGAUUGGAAAAGGACACCUUGUACUGUGUCUGCGCUUGUGUAGACAGAAAGUGAGGACAUCCAAGCAAACCAGUAAAAUGUAACAAUUGUUGACUGUGGGUGGAGGGAGCCCGGGGAUUCAUUCUAUCAACUUUGCUGUGUGUUUGAAACUUUUUACAAUGAUAAGCUGGGGGCAAGAGAGUGGAUUGAAAUACAGAGAAUAGAUACAGUUAAAAAGCAAAAGUAACUUCAGCUAAAAACCCCUUCAUCCAUGGGCUCUGUGCCACUUCUGUUUUUAUUUUAUUUUUUUUCAAUUUUUACUGAAGUACAAUUUGCAUGGCAUUAAAUUCUCCCCUUUAAGGUAAACACAUCAGUGCUCAUUUUGUUGUGGGACUCACACUUCUGUCUAAUUCUGGAACAUUCCCCAUCACCCCCAAAGGAACCCCAGCCUGGUCUGCAAUUUGUCUCACUUUUCCCUUCCCAGCAACCUCUGAUCCACUCUCUGCCUGUGAAUUUGCCUGUUCUAGAUAUUUCAUUUAAAUGUGUUCACACAACAUGAGACCUUCUCUGACUGGCAUAUUUUGCCAGUGUGUUUUCAAAGCUCUUCCAUGUUGGAACUUGUAUAAGAACUUCAUUCCUGUUGAUGGUCGGAUAGUCACAAUAUGUCACAUUUGAUUUACUCACUCAUCCCUUGACGGAUGUGUGGGUUGCCUCUCUGUUUUGGUGAUGGCAAACACCACUGCCGUGAAUCUUAGUGUUUUCCUGGAUGUGUCUCCAGUUGUCCUGGAUCUAGACCUAGGAGUGCAAUUACUAGGUCAUUGAGAAACUCUGUGCUUGAACUUCAAAGGUCCUGCCAGAGUGUUUUCCCACCUGGUGGCUGCAUUUUACACACCCACCAGCAACAUUUGAUGGCUCUGAUUUCCUCACACCCUCAUGGGUCGCAGUCAAAACACAGAUCCAACAGUCCUUAUUGUCCUUUCUGCCUUAAAAAAAUAGCCAUCCAAGUGGGUGUGGAGUGAUAACUCAAUGUGGUUUGACUUACUUUUCCUUCAUUUCAGUUUUUAUUUUAGUUCUGGUGGAUUUAGGGGAAACUGUCUGCUGAGAUACUGAAUGUACAAAUGCAACAGGGGACCUUAGGAGCGCCUCCUCCUGAGCCUCCUGCAAUUGAUUCUCUUCUUUCUCCCUCCACCUCCCACCUGCCCAGUGCUGAAAGGCAAAUGCUCCACCCUGAGCUACACCUCCAGCCCCACUUCUAUUGAUCCUUAGGCUUCAUCCUGCAUUUCUCCAUGUUGUACCCCAAUCGGUGUUUCCCUAAUCUGAAAAUCUGAGAGGCUCCAAACCCCAAAACUCAUGAUGUCACAAGAGGAAAAGUCUACACCUGACCUCACGGGAUGGGUCGCAGUCAAAACACAGAUCCAAUGAAGAUAUUAUGUACCAUUAGCCUUCGGGCUGGGUAUAUAAGGUAUGCACGAAACAUAAAUAGGUUUGAUAUUUAGGCUCGGGUCCCAUCCUUGAUAUAGCUCAUUCUGUAUGUGCAAAUAUUCCAAAAUCCAAAAUGCUUCUGAUCCAUGCAUUUCACAUAAGGAAUGCUAAACCUGUACUCAUUUUCUUCUACUGUCUAACAAAUGACCACAAUCCUUGUGGCUUCAAACCUUUAUUGGUUCACAGUGCUGUUCUCCUCUGGAGGCUCUUGGGGAAAUUCCACAGAACUGAGAUGCUGCUCCUUUACUGGUAGUUGGCAGGGCUACUCAGCUCCAGGAGACCACCCACAUUCUUUGCCUCCUGGUCCCCUCCAGUUGGCAAUGGCAGGCGAAACCCUUCUUGUGCUUUGAAGCUGACUUUUUCUUAUGAGUUUCAAAGUGCUCUUGUGACUAGGUCAAUCCUGACCAGAUCAUCUCUGUAAUUUAAAGUCAACUCACCUGAGACCUUGUGAUUCAGAUUCACCUGCUGAAUCCCAUCACAGAAAUACCUCGAUCAGUGAGUAAGUAACAGUAAAAGGUGUGUGUAAGUAGCGCCUGGGAAUCUUGCUGCACAGUUGAGAACUUUGUUUCUGUGAGAUCUUUGACAUGUACAUUAAAAUAAGUCUUUUGCUAGCCACGGCUUAAAAAACAAACAAAAAUUAUUUAGUACUAGAGAUUUUAACCCAGGAGUGCUCUACCACUGAACUACACCCCCAGCCCUUUUUGUUUUUCAUUUGCAGAAGGAGGCACUUGUGAUCCUCCUGCCUCAGCCUCCUGAGCUGCUGGGAUUACAGGCAUAUGUCACCACUCCCAGUUAGACAUUUUUAAGAUUAAUGAUCGAGUUUGUUUCUCUUUUGGCAGUGCUGGGGAUCAAACCCAGGGCCUCAUGCAUGCUAGGCAAGCACUCUACCACUGAGCCUGAGCCCCAGCCCCAGCCCUUCAAAAUGUCUUAAUGCGGGACUCUACAAGGACCUCCAGUCUGAAGGCUGAUGUUGGGUAGCAACUGUUUAAUGUAUGACAACGACCUGCCAAUCCACUAGUAUCAUCUGUCCCCUGUCUGUUGUUGUUGAUUGCUGAGCUGAUGCUCCUGCUGGCUUUGGGGGCUCUUAGCAUGUUGAUCAGGACCUUGCUGAACCUCGACAGAGUGAUAAAUUGCACACUUUUUCCCCCUCUCCCGAUUCUGUGGCUCCUUUGAAAAGACGAUCCCUCUGAUGUGCCCAAGAAAAUUCUCUUUGAUGUUGCAAGUCGGGACACUUGAGCUUUUAAGGAAUUUUAAGCAGAGAAAAUUAGUCUCUGCCCAUUUUGAGGCAAGCACGGUCUUGCUCCUCACCGCGGACCUUGGCUUCAAGAGACGCUUUGUUCUCUGCCGUGUCGUUUCCGACUCCUGUCAACGAGUCUAGCUCCCAUAUUCUGAAACAGGAAUAAAUUGUCCCUUGUUAUGUUAAGUAGAAGAAACUAAAGGGUGAACAUGCGUGAGAGGUAAAGUGAUUUGGGAAGAGAAAGCCGAUCAGAGAGUGUUCCCAUUGCCAAGGUCAGGUCAGAAGUAGCUAGAGAUUUCUUUCUUUGAUGCUGUCAAAAUGUAGUAGGUUUUGACUGGUCCAAAAGCGGCACUUCCCAGUGUGUUUCCCUGGGACACUAGUUUCAUAAGAUGAGUGACAGGUGGGAAAAAUUCUAUGGUCAAACAGGUUAGCUAUUAUGGCUUGUUAUGAAUCUCCCCCAGGGAGAUAGAGUCUGCUGUGAUUUCCAAGUUUACCCAGGGCUUGGAUGCCCAGUUUCCUGUUAAGGAAAUACUUGUGAGAUCAGAGCCGAAAGGAGCACACUUUGAGAAGGAUUUGUGUCGAAUUAAUUCUUUGGCUUGAGAUAAUAGAAACAUGCCAACCGGUUGGCAUGUUUGUGAUACCAGUCAAGGAAGAGACACAUCUCUCCAUUUAGGACACAAGUACAUAUUUGGGUCAUAGAUACACAUAAAAGUAUAGAUAGUCACUUUUUUUGUAUCUUCAACAUUUCCUAUUUAUAGAUGAUUAAUAUUCUCCAGUUGAGGUCUUUGAAGCAACCUUGGACGUCUCAGUAACAAUUUUAUUUGCAGUGAAUGGAGAAGAGAAAUAGUUCUUGGCCAUCUCCAAUGGCAGGGAUGCUUGGGUACAUCAUUCUAUCUAAACUUUGUGAUAACUUGACUGAUGUAAGUGUCAAUAUCUUCAGUUUGAAAAUGAAGACAGGGAAAAUCAGAGAGGCGAAGUUUGCCUAAGGCCACACAGUUUUCUAAGAGCCAGGGGGGUGUCUGGAUCCCGUGCAGUCUGACUUGACAGCCCGUUCCCUUUCCUUCAGAGCACCGGGUUCUCUGCCUUUCUCACUGAUCUAUAGUUUGUGCCAUAAUUGAGUACGCUAAUAGUUGAACGUAGAUGGAAUAUUUUGAACUGAGUUGUAUUUCCCCACAGAUCAGCAUUAGGAUUUCAGAGAAAAUCAUCUUCAACGAUGAACAGUGGGUUUGGGUACGUGUGUUCUCAGUUACCCCACUCCUCCUCUAUUCUGAAUGAUCAGGGGCGGGGGAGGAUUACAUAAUGCACCAGGAAACUAACUCUGAUUUCACUUAUUUCCCAAUUUUUCUCUUCAUAAAGGGAACACUAGCUUUUCAUUUAUUGGUGAAAUAAUGCCGGCUCAAACCUCUUGACCCCGGGGAAGGCUACUUUAUUUCUGCGCCUGUUUCCUCCUCUGUAAGAUGGGAGCCGUGAUGUUCCGGGAGCAGAGUGAGGAUCCAGCAAGGUGGGGAAAUGGGAUAAUGACUCUCAAGUCCUUCCGUAAGAGUGCUUGGUGACCGCUAACUUCUAGUCUGGCCCCUCAUUGGGCCUGACUUAAUUUUAGCAAUCAAGAGAAAAUCCAGAAGUCAGAAGGAUCAGGGCCGCCCUGCAGGGCUGGAGACUAGUUACAGAGAAGCUAGACCUGUCCUCUCCCUGCCCUUAAUUGGCUUUGCCGUGACUUAAGGGAUGGCCGGUCAGUCCCCGACUCAGAGCAGACUUGAAAACUCAAGUCAACAUGAACAUACAUUAAUAUUAACCAGAGAACAAAUAUUUGUGAAACUCCCUAGUCCCUUCAUGUUUACCUUUGCUCCUGGAGACUAGUUAGCAGAGGUAACAUCAAACAAAAAGAGUAUUCCCCUCUUCGGGGAAAGUUACACUCCUGGCUCUCGCCAUGGGCCUUAGCCACUCCCUGUUCCUAUCUAUGGGCAAGACAGCUGGCAUGUUACCCAAACACGUGUCAUUUCACAAUGCCCCCACGGUGUCUGCAGAGCGGACACAGUGCCCUGCCAGUGAUUAGGCCGUCUUAUUGAAUUAACGAAUAUUUACAGAAACACGCUCCAUUCCAGUACUUUCUCACAUUUAACUCCAAACAAGAUGAACAGGUUUUGAGUCCGAAAAUAGUUUAGCUCAGGGAAAAUUAUUUUCCCCAAGGAACAUACAGGGUGGAAGACGAAAGAGUUCGACUUUGCUUAGAAUAAAGCUAGGCCAAUAUUUGGCCACUAUUUGUGACCAGAUUCACCAGCCCUGACCUUCAGCUAUUUGAGACAGACUCCGCAGGAUCUCUCACUUCUGCCUGAAAUCUUAACAUACAUGCACACACAUGCACACGUGCACAUGCACACACCGCAUGCACACACGCACAUGCACACACUCACACAUGCACACGCACACACACGCACACGCACACACAUGCACACACGUACACGUGCGCAUGCACACACAUGCACACAUGCACCUGCGCACACGCGCGUGCGCACACCAGGUUCCCCAAUCAGAAUCUCCAGUGGCCCUGUCCACGCGUCCCUCCUUCCCUAGGGUAACUAAAAGUGCCACAGCGAUCUGGAAAACUCUACGCUUUUUCGUUCCUGCUAAUGGAUCCUGUCCUGCUGUCCUCGUCGUGUUCCCACUUCAUGACCCUCUGGGCUUCGCCCCUGGAGGCGGCUUCAGCGCACCUCCUCAUCUUGGGCCAGGGCCGGCUUGGCUGGGCGCACAGGGGGCGGAAGGUUUUCCCAUCCUGCGGCCUCUUGCUCUUAUGAGCCCUCUGGCCCUCGUCCUCCGCCCCCUGUAGAUUAACCCCAUUACAGCGAGUCCACGCGGAGCCCUGGUGAGGCCGGGCCCACCACUGAACUGCACAGCCUCGGAGGGAGCGCUUUGCACAAAGCCCAUUAAGGAGGUGACAGCUGAGCCUCCCUCUAGUAACUCACAGUGGCAAAUCGGAACAAACUGUUCUUGGUUUUUUGUAUUUGGAGGAGUCAAUGGGUUGGGCUGGGCGGAGGGGGGAGGCUGCCGGUGGUGGAGGACGCAGCCUCCCCUUUAGCUUAUAGGGGAUUUAAAAAUAGUGUCUCAAGAAAAUCGUUGCAAACCAGAGACCGCAGGGACCAGUGUAGCUAUCUGUUAGCUGCAUGGGUGGGGGCGGCGGGGCAUGGGCCGGGCCAGCAGCAGGUUUUGUCUUCCAGGGCUGAUGACCAGUGUUCCCCAAGCCCAGAUCAGCGCAGCGCCCCUCGCAGGACAAGGGCGACAGACCCACGGUCCUCCUUCUGUGCUGGGCAGGACCAAGCAACAGGACAGAGGUCCAUCCAGCCUGGGACAGCCUUUCCUUGUGGGACACAGCUCCAGUCCUCCCUUUGUUUUGAAUAAUUUAUUACUUUUUAUGGUGGUAAGAUAUACAUACAUAAAAGCUACCUUUGAAUUUUUGUUUUUGUUUUGGUUUUGUACCAGGGAUUGAACCCAGGGGCGCUUAACCACGAAGCCACAUCCCAGCCCCUCCCCCCCUUUUUUAGAGCCUUGCUAAGUUGCUGAGAAAGGCUGGCCUCCAACUUUCAAUCCUCCUGUCUCAGCCUCCUGAGCUGCCUGAUUACAGUUGUGUGCCAUCACUCCUGGGCCUUUGAAUUGUUUUUAAGCGUGGCAUUAAGGGUAUUCACGUCAUUGUGCAACUAUCACUACCAUCAGGCCAUGGAACUCUUCAUUUUGCAAAACUGAAGCCCUAUCCCCACGAAACACUGUCCCAUUUCCUGCUCCCUCCAGUCUGUGCUCCUUCACCCUACUUUCUGCAUCUGUGAAUUAAGUUCAUAGAGGGACUUGACCUCUGAUGAAUGGAAUCUUGCAGUAUUCGUCCUCUUGUGAUGGACUCUUGUCACUUAUAGUGUUUCAAACUUUAUCCUUGUAGUAGCAGAUGUCAGGAUGCCUUUCCUU
rnacentral:lncRNA from 1 species